rnacentral:rRNA from 1 species
AGAGUUUGAUCCUGGCUCAGAUUGAACGCUGGCGGCGUGCUUAACACAUGCAAGUCGAUCGGUAACAGGUGUAGCAAUACAUGCUGACGAGAGGCGGACGGGUGAGGAAUAUUUGGGAAUCUGCCCAUCAGCGGGGGACAACCCGGGGAAACCCGGGCUAAUACCGCAUACGCUCUACGGAGGAAAGCCGGGGACCGCAAGGCCUGGCACUGAUGGAUGAGCCCAAAUCGGAUUAGCUAGUUGGCGGGGUAACGGCCCACCAAGGCGACGAUCCGUAGCUGGUCUGAGAGGACGAUCAGCCACACCGGAACUGAGACACGGUCCGGACUCCUACGGGAGGCAGCAGUGGGGAAUAUUGGACAAUGGGGGAAACCCUGAUCCAGCGACGCCGCGUGGGUGAAGAAGGCCUGCGGGUUGUAAAGCCCUUUCGGUAGGGACGAAAGCUCUUGCUCUAACAAAGCAGGAGGUUGACUUAACCUACAUAAGAAGCACCGGCUAACUCUGUGCCAGCAGCCGCAGUAAUACAGAGGGUGCGAGCGUUAAUCGGAAUUACUGGGCGUAAAGCG